GAAAGAUGAAAAGAACUUUGAAAAGAGAGUUAAACAGUACGUGAAAUUGUUGAAAGGGAAACGAUUGAAGUCAGUCGUACCAGCGGGAAAUCAACCUUUCGAGUGGGGUUUUGGAGUUUUGAAGAGUGUCAAAACCUUUGAGAUUUCAAAAUUUUCGCUCUUUUGGUGUACUUUCUCGUGGGUAGGUUAACAUCGAUUUUUGAUCAUCAUAAAAAGAUUGGAGGAAUGUAGCUUCGAUCUUGUAUUGAAGUGUUAUA
rnacentral:rRNA from 1 species